GGGAGCCUGAACCAGCCAAGUCGCGUGAAGGAAGAAGGAUCUAUGGUUCGUAAACUUCUUUUGCAGGGGAAUAAAGUGCAGGACGUGUCCUGUUUUGUAUGUACCCUGAGAAUAAGGAUCGGCUAACUCCAUGCCAGCAGCCGCGGUAAU
rnacentral:rRNA from 1 species